rnacentral:rRNA from 1 species
GACGAACCGCCCGAACGUUAUUCGGAAUCACUGGGCUUAAAGGGUGCGUAGGCGGCGUUGUAAGUCGGGUGUGAAAUCCCUCGUCUUAACCGAGGAAUUGCGCUCGAUACUGCAGUGCUUGAGGGAGACAGAGGUAAGCGGAACUAAUGGUGGAGCGGUGAAAUGCGUUGAUAUCAUUAGGAACACCGGUGGCGAAAGCGGCUUACUGGGUCUCUGCUGACGCUGAGGCACGAAAGCUAGGGUAGCGAACGGG